rnacentral:rRNA from 1 species
GGCGAACGGCUGAGUAACACGUGGGCAACCUGCCCUUUGCACUGGGAUAGCCUCGGGAAACCGAGGUUAAUACCGGAUACUCCAUAUUUGUCGCAUGGCGAAUAUGGGAAAGCUCCGGCGGCAAAGGAUGGGCCCGCGGCCUGUUAGCUAGUUGGUGGGGUGGUGGCCUACCAAGGCAAUGAUGGGUAGCCGGGUUGAGAGACCGACCGGCCAGAUUGGGACUGAGACACGGCCCAGACUCCUACGGGAGGCAGCAGCU